rnacentral:rRNA from 1 species
UGGCCGGCCAAGUCCACCGGGAAAUCCACCCGCUCAACGGGUGGGCGUCCGGUGGAAACUGGCCGGCUUGGAACCGGAAGACCCAACGGGUACGUCCGGGGUAGGAGUGAAAUCCCGUAAUCCUGGACGGACCGCCGAUGGCGAAAGCACGUUGGGAAGACGGAUUCGACAGUGAGGGACGAAAGCUCGGGUCUCGAACCGGAUUAGAUACCCGGGUAGUCCGAGCCGUAAACGAUGUCCACUAGGUGUGGCACAGGCUACGAGCCUGUGCUGUGCCGUAGGGAAGCCGCUAAGUGGACCGCCUGGGAA